rnacentral:rRNA from 1 species
AGCAGCCGCGGUAAUUCCAGCUCCAAUAGCGUAUAUUAAAGUUGUUGCAGUUAAAAAGCUCGUAGUUGAAUUUCGGGGUCAGUAGGUUGGUCGUGCCACUGGUAUGCACUGGUCUCACUGAUUCCUCCUUCCUGAUGAACCGUAAUGCCAUUAAUUUGGUGUUGCGGGGAAUCUGGACUGUUACUUUGAAAAAAUUAGAGUGUUUAAAGCAGGCUAACGCUUGAAUACAUUAGCAUGGAAUAAUGAAAUAGGACGUUCGAUCUUAUUUUGUUGGUUUCUAAGAUUGACGUAAUGAUUAAUAGGGAUAGUUGGGGGCAUUAGUAUUCAAUUGUCAGAGGUGAAAUUCUUGGAUUUAUUGAAGACUAACUACUGCGAAAGCAUUUGCCAAGGAUGUUUUCAUUAAUCAAGAACGAAAGUUAGGGGAUCGAAGACGAUCAGAUACCGUCGUAGUCUUAACCAUAAACCUAUGCCGACUAGGGAUCGGAUGAUGUUAAUUUUUUAAUGA